rnacentral:lncRNA from 1 species
CCCCGCCAGGAUAUUUUUCCUGUAAAAACUUUUAAAGUGUUAUUUUAAGCAAACCCCGAGGCAGACUUUAAUCACUAGGGGGGGUCUCCGCAGCAUUGAGCAGUUUUGGGAGCACGUCCCUUCUGCUGGUGAAGGAAUGGAUGCCAAGCACAGCAUCAGCAGAACAGAAAUCAAGUGUGGUGGCAGCUUUUUCUCUUCCUACACAACUUGGCCUUAAACACGGAGGUGAACAGGAACCACACUGGGCAGAGGUGAGCUUCGCCCGCCUGUUUCAGGCCACAUCCAGUCUGCAGGGAGCACUGAACAAACACUGGUUCGGGGGCGAGACGUUGCACACCGCCGGCCGGAUGUGAGGACUCUGACUUUCUGAUACUCGUCUUCAAGUUUGGGUGUUUUUAUGGACUCUUCUUUGCUGCUGCCUGCCUCGUGAGGCAGGGAGCUCUUGUCCAACACUGUUGAAGGAAAGCCAGAAUGUGGGUGUGUUUGGUAAAGCUUGCUGCUGGCUCCCCGCACCGGUGACCUCUGUGCAAGGGAGGCAGGUAUUAGACUGACGGCUUCCUCUGCCCUGGGUAGUAGUGGAUGGUAGAGUGCAGGAGUGUCAUUUUGGCUGCUAGUUAAAAAUGAUGCCUGGGAUUGAUGACUAAAAAUACUUUGGGUAUCUUCCAGAACAGAGAUGCUCAAUUCCUCCACGUUUUUAGCAAUGAAAAAUAUUCAUGUAGCUUGGAACCAUCAGGUUAUUUGUUUUAUUCAUUGGUUACUGUUUAUUUCAUUGCACCCUGUGUGAGAGAAAAUCACAAAGAAAUCUGACCUCUUCAGCCAUUCCAUUGGGUACCACUUUGCAGCUCUCUCACAAGUUGUUCUUUGUCAUUGCCAUCAAUUAAAAAAAAAAUCAGCAGAACAGUCUGAAAAAGAAACCGUCUUGGGGUUGCUGGUGGUUAUUAGUUUCUGCCACUGCCUGCUUUCAGUUCAGUGUUCUCAGUGCCCAUGAGCCAGCAGAAAGCCAAAACCCAUGGAAUAUGGCACAAAUGUCAUUCUUCUACAAUGCUAAUGUAUAUGUUUUUAGUAGUUUUAUGAUGGAUGUUUAUUUUAUUUUGUUUUUCUAUUCUCUUACUAUAACGUGGUCGGUCAGGAAGGCUUAGAUCCCAGGCAUCCGAUAAUUUUGCUUCAGGAUUUGACAGGGAAAUUAAUUAGCAUCUGGUCUGAUAUGUACACUGUACAAGCAGUCUGUCCAUUACUCUAGUGCAUAGUGUUUGGAGGCUGUUGUGAGCAUAUACUGACUAGCAGCAGUAAUGGUAUUUCAAGGGAGAUCUAUCAGUUCCCAGUCUGUAUGCACUCAGAGGUUUGUCCGUAUGG